UGUAUCAAAGCAUUGGCAUCGCGUAAUUAUAAACUUUAUAACCCUUAGAGAUAGAGCUGUCAAUUGGGCAGGCCGCCCAUGGACUUGCCCAGUCCAAAUGCAUAUGGACGGGCUAUAUUCCGAACCAUAAAACAAAUGAUCUAAUUGGGCAUAUGACCAGUUUUGUCCGCGGAUAAUAUGGGCUUGACCAUAUGGACAAUGGGCUGCCCAUGGGCAUGAAUUGAGUCAAUAGACAUGUCUUCAUUUUAAUCAUAUUUUUAU
rnacentral:sRNA from 1 species